rnacentral:rRNA from 1 species
AAAUUGAAGAGUUUGAUCAUGGCUCAGAUUGAACGCUGGCGGCAGGCCUAACACAUGCAAGUCGAACGGUAACAGGAAGCAGCUUGCUGCUUCGCUGACGAGUGGCGGACGGGUGAGUAAUGUCUGGGAAACUGCCUGAUGGAGGGGGAUAACUACUGGAAACGGUGGCUAAUACCGCAUAACGUCGCAAGACCAAAGAGGGGGACCUUCGGGCCUCUUGCCAUCAGAUGUGCCCAGAUGGGAUUAGCUUGUUGGUGAGGUAACGGCUCACCAAGGCGACGAUCCCUAGCUGGUCUGAGAGGAUGACCAGCCACACUGGAACUGAGACACGGUCCAGACUCCUACGGGAGGCAGCAGUGGGGAAUAUUGCACAAUGGGCGCAAGCCUGAUGCAGCCAUGCCGCGUGUAUGAAGAAGGCCUUCGGGUUGUAAAGUACUUUCAGCGGGGAGGAAGGUGUUGUGGUUAAUAACCGCAGCAAUUGACGUUACCCGCAGAAGAAGCACCGGCUAACUCCGUGCCAGCAGCCGCGGUAAUACGGAGGGUGCAAGCGUUAAUCGGAAUUACUGGGCGUAAAGCGCACGCAGGCGGUCUGUCAAGUCGGAUGUGAAAUCCCCGGGCUCAACCUGGGAACUGCAUUCGAAACUGGCAGGCUUGAGUCUUGUAGAGGGGGGUAGAAUUCCAGGUGUAGCGGUGAAAUGCGUAGAGAUCUGGAGGAAUACCGGUGGCGAAGGCGGCCCCCUGGACAAAGACUGACGCUCAGGUGCGAAAGCGUGGGGAGCAAACAGGAUUAGAUACCCUGGUAGUCCACGCCGUAAACGAUGUCUACUUGGAGGUUGUGCCCUUGAGGCGUGGCUUCCGGAGCUAACGCGUUAAGUAGACCGCCUGGGGAGUACGGCCGCAAGGUUAAAACUCAAAUGAAUUGACGGGGGCCCGCACAAGCGGUGGAGCAUGUGGUUUAAUUCGAUGCAACGCGAAGAACCUUACCUGGUCUUGACAUCCACAGAAGAAUCCAGAGAUGGAUUUGUGCCUUCGGGAACUGUGAGACAGGUGCUGCAUGGCUGUCGUCAGCUCGUGUUGUGAAAUGUUGGGUUAAGUCCCGCAACGAGCGCAACCCUUAUCCUUUGUUGCCAGCGAUUAGGUCGGGA